rnacentral:rRNA from 1 species
ACAUGCAAGUCGAGCGGACUUGAUGAGAAGCUUGCUUCUCUGAUGGUUAGCGGCGGACGGGUGAGUAACACGUAGGCAACCUGCCCUCAAGCUUGGGACAACUACCGGAAACGGUAGCUAAUACCGAAUACUUGCUUUCUUCGCCUGAAGGAAGCUGGAAAGACGGAGCAAUCUGUCACUUGAGGAUGGGCCUGCGGCGCAUUAGCUAGUUGGUGAGGUAACGGCUCACCAAGGCGACGAUGCGUAGCCGACCUGAGAGGGUGAUCGGCCACACUGGGACUGAGACACGGCCCAGACUCCUACGGGAGGCAGCAGUAGGGAAUCUUCCGCAAUGGGCGAAAGCCUGACGGAGCAAUGCCGCGUGAGUGAUGAAGGUUUUCGGAUCGUAAAGCUCUGUUGCCAGGGAAGAACGUCCUUGAGAGUAACUGCUCAAGGAGUGACGGUACCUGAGAAGAAAGCCCCGGCUAACUACGUGCCAGCAGCCGCGGUAAUACGUAGGGGGCAAGCGUUGUCCGGAAUUAUUGGGCGUAAAGCGCGCGCAGGCGGUCAUUUAAGUCUGGUGUUUAAUCCCGGGGCUCAACCCCGGAUCGCACUGGAAACUGGGUGACUUGAGUGCAGAAGAGGAGAGUGGAAUUCCACGUGUAGCGGUGAAAUGCGUAGAGAUGUGGAGGAACACCAGUGGCGAAGGCGACUCUCUGGGCUGUAACUGACGCUGAGGCGCGAAAGCGUGGGGAGCAAACAGGAUUAG